CGACAUCAUGUUGAAACACUAGUUCCCAUAUGAACAUUGAAGUUAAGCAAUGUUGAGCUUAGUCAGUACCUGAAUAGGUGACAACUUUGGAAUACCAGGUGCUGUAA